CUUCUUAAGUCCAGGGAAGGGAGGGGACGGCGGGGCCCCAGUGUCCCUCCCCGCUGCCUCCCCCCACCCCGUUCCCCUUCUGGACGGGCGCCGUGGCUCCGGCACCCACUGCUGGGGAACCUGCGGAGUGGGCGGGGAGCGCGACUGAAAGUUCCAAGUUCACAGAAGUCCCGCGCGCGGCCCACCGCGUCUCGGGAUUUCGGGGGGGGGGUGUGUGGGGGGCCAGGUAAGCGGUUCGCGCACGUCAGGACCAGCCCCGCACCCUCUGGCAGCCUGCGCGGCGCGCUGCCCCGCCCUCGGUCACACGAACGCGCCUUCUCACCCGCGCGCACACCCGCAGCCGAGCACACGCGUCCGCGUGCACGGCCGCUCGUGUCCUCCAUCCUCGAGCGACCACCAGGAUGUGCCUCGGGCCUCGCCGCCGCCGCCGCUGCCGCUGUGCCCGCGACAGUGCCCCUAGCCCCAGUAUGUCUCUUUUCAUCUCCUAAUUUUAAUAUUUUUGUCCUCGCAAGUGGCCCUGUGUGGUGCGAAGCUUGGACACGAUAGUCUCCCCACACUUCCCCUGGUCGUCGCUUGUGGCGGCUGCGGCCGGAGGUGGAGGGCAGGUGAUGACCAGCUAGUCCCCCACGCCAGGCUGCCGCACGCUCCCCGCAGGGUUAGAAGCUGCUCCCUGGCUGGUGGGAUCCCCUUCUCUUCCAAAGACUCAAGCCUGGCACCGCUCCCCUGCUCUCCGCCGGCUGCUUUUCGGUUCUAGGCUCUGGUUCUCAGCCCGAGUUUUGCUGCCCUCCUCUAGUUGUGUGAAUUCCACGAAGCAACAGCUUUGGGCUCCAGGCAGAGCGCAGGAGAAUCAUGCAGAGGAAGGAAGCACACAGGUUGGAGUCGCCUCCAAACAGCCCCAAGAGCCACUUAAAAAAAUUCUUUAAGAUGAACUAAAAACUCUGAAAGGGAAACCGGUCUGCCAGUUGAGAAGGAGAUUUUACUGGGUUGGAACCUGGAGAUGUGGAAACAGUUCUGACCCCAUAGCACCUGACUCUGCUCCCUUCUUUAGAGCUGGCACAGUGAAGUCUGCUCCACCUAAACAAAGAUGCUGUGCAGCUGCAGCUACUUCCUCAUCUCAACUCUGUACUCGUCCAAAAAACACAGGGCUUCUUGUGGCUGCUGGAAUAUCCUUCCUCUGUCCUACACAGAGGAUUCCAGACUUUAGAAGAUCAGAGGCCAUGACAGAGAAGGAAGUCACAUAGACAACACUCACUCUGGGUGGUUAUAAAAGCAAGAAAAAAAACCCCUUUGCAUAUGGGUAUUCUGAUUUGUUCCCCUGAAAACCACACUGACAAAUUUUCAACACUGCAUACCAUCUCCGGGUGUCUCUGAGAAUGUAUUCAUCUUGGUUUAUGCUUGAAAGCACUGCAUACCUGUGGCUCUUCAUUUCUCUGUUUACUUUAUUGUACAACACAGAAUUUGUGAACACACUGGCUGGAUUGUUCCUGGAUCCUUGCUGUGUCUGUUCCACAGAAUAUCACAGAGGCAACUCGAGCUGGGUGCAAAGAGAGAAUGGCUGAGGACUCUAAGCUUUCUGUCUUAUCAUGGGAGCAUGGGC
ensembl:lncRNA